ensembl:lncRNA
UUGGCACGGAGCUGUUAGUUGAAAGCUGGAAAAAUGGAUAAACAGAGCCUGACAUAGUCAUUCUAGAAUUGAUUUGUAUAGGUCCAGAAAAGGGUCAGAGUUCAGCGGCUCGAGUCUCAAAGAGCCAAAGGAAGACAAGGUAAGAAGCCAGGUUUCCGCUCUGGCAAGCUCGGGCCGGAACUUGAAGGCACGUUCCUGGCUCUUCCUUAUUAUCGUAACCUCUGGAAGCGAACACGCUGCUUGCGAAGACAGUGAACGCUGUCCAGUGGAUUCGAUCAUUUUUGACCAAGAAAGCGUACGGGAUUGAGCGGUACAGAGAAAAGAAGGGAAUAAAAAAACCCCAAAACAACGUGGCCCCGGUGGCUGGAAGUGCCGUGCUCGGGGCGAACUAGAACCCUGAACUGGAAGCAGCCGCUCGCACGAGGACGCCAUGAGGCAUCCUCUCCUUGGAAGGCAGUCUGCAAAGUGGUUCUUUCCUGGCUGUCGCUCCGCUCUUCUUCCGAGGCUGUUUCGACUCGGAGCGUGCGGGAGGAGCGCCAAGCCCAGCCGUGACCUGGUGGCCCCGGGAGCUGCCGGCGCAGCCCGCCAAGCCCUGGUGGACCGCAGCCAGGAGGGAGGGUCUCUUUAACUGUGCGGUUCCCUGGGCCUGUCUCACGCGCAGGCCUGGAGCUGAGGAACAGAAAUCAAGGGGAAUGUUGUAUUUCCCUGAGAAAAACAAGUCUUCUGCCCCUUUUCCUCUUGUGAACUGCACGCUUGGCCUCACUUUCCCACUGCUGGAUCUCUUUGAACCCUUGGACCCUCACCCUUUCCCUUUGCACUCUAAAUCUGGACUGGAUUUUUUUUUUUUUUUUUAAAGGCAGAGCAACAGAGAGAGGGAGAGACUGAGAUCUUCCAUCCACUGGUUCACUUCUAAAUGACAACCCGGGCAGAGGCCACCGCCUGGAACUGCAUCAGGGUCUCCCAUCUGGGUGACAGAUGCCCAAGUGGAGCGGCCUGGACUCCAACCUGCACUCACUGGGGCUGCCGGCAGUGCAGCAGAGAGAGCUGCACCUGCUGUGCCAUCAGUGACUGGGAUUUCUUAUUCUCCUUAACAUGUGUGAAUCAUGGUGCUACGAUGAGAGUUGGUGAUUUAUGGCUUUGGAGGGCAUGCGUGUGUAUGAUUAAGGGAUGCCUUUCGUCAAGACCACCCGUCAAAACAGGAAGAUAA